CCGAUGAUUUGGACGAUACGCCCCAGGUUGUUUUUUUCAAGCGUGGAAACCCCAGAACCAGAAGUAGUAGGA
rnacentral:tRNA from 1 species